CGAUAAAUGAUGCUAAAUGAGCGAAGAGUGCCGUGAAGAGAUUUUUACAAGCAGUUUUGUUAAAUUAAAUAAAAGAAUCAUUUUUCUCCAAAAGUUUAAACUGGUUUCAUUUAAAACACAUAUCGGUUAGGAGUAGGGCUACUAUACUAUUAUGAGUGUUGGGCCCUUCGUACUCAUAAGUUGUUUUCGAUGAUGGAGCUUCCGAAUCGACGAUCCACUCCGUUAAAUAUGAUCUACAGUAUUUAAAACUUUUAGAAAAUAAAUUUCGUAAUUUUUCAAAAUCAUAAUAAAGUCCAUCAAGCGGGCAUAAAAUGAACGGUCAAAAUCGAACGAUGUCUUAAAAAUGGAUGAUCGGAUCCUUCAAUUUAAGAUCGGAGUUAUUGAUCUUUAUCUAGGUAGUGAAUAGAAUUUUCUAUCAAAAAUUCAACCUAUUCGGAUUCUUUUGCACCGUUAAACUAGCAAGUAUUCCAUACCGGCCGUUAAAAAUUGUUAAUUUUGUGAGCUUUUGAUCUUAAGGUAAAUGAUGUCGAAAAAUUAUGAAAUUUGAUUUCUAGAUGUUUCAAAUGCUUUAGAUAACGUUUAAUGGUGUGGAUCGUUGAUUCGGAAGCUCUAUCAUCGAAAACAACUUAUGAGCACGAGGGCGAUCGUACUCAUAAUAGUAUAGUAGCCGGACUCAUCAGUUGGAGACUUAUUGCUAGGUUUAUGACAUGAACUUGAAUUACAUAUAUAAGAGAAAAUUAAUAAUG
rnacentral:lncRNA from 1 species